UACACUUAAAAUUUCCCUUUUUAUCACCUUGUGACACAUGUUUUCAGUUCUUGAGGAAAAUGGAAGCAAUGCCUACGAUAUCAGAUAUACUAAAACUACUUCAGAUGAUAGUCAUUUGACACCAUCAUCUUACUUGAGUGCUCAGAUUUGCCGUCUUUUUGGCUUCUUCCUACCUGACUAAGUGUAUAUGGUCAUCGUUCUCGUAGAAACCAAAUUUUCUGUGUGCAUACCGUUAUGAGUCAGGCUGCUGUUAUUCCCUUCUGGAUUUAAAGAAUGUAGACAGAUGAACCCAAGGUCGUGUCUAGCAGUCAAUGAAGUAGGCAAAACCAUGGGAGUCCAAGGAUCAGCCCUAGCAUUGACAAAGAUGCUAGGUGAUUUUCUUCUGUUCGCUUAAACCUUGGUUGACAGAAUUACUAGAUCACUGUUUGGUGGGUGGCAAGUAUUCGGUGGAGAAGUUGAGGUGUGUGCAAACUCAUCCGAGCACUACCAUUGUCACACCAAAAAGACGGACAGGAAGAAGAAUCAGGGAACAUUUGGAGAGCUACUUUGGAAUAGGAUUUGGGUGUAAUGGAUGGAGUCACAGUUUUUGCAUGUUUGCCUGGCCAAGUAAUUAGUUGGUCAAAAUGGAAUAGAGCGUAAUUGAGGGGGGCAAUUUUAUCUCGAAUUCUUAAGGAGGUGAGAAUUGGCGGUAAUUAGACUAAUAUAAUUAUAUUGCAAAUUUAACCUUUAAGUUUUUUAGUUCAUUUUUCCAUGCUAUCCCGUGCUACUUUUUUCCAUGCGGCUUUUUCCUUGACAAAGUCGGAGUAUAUGUUCUAGAAAAAAAUACUUUCACAUCUCAUGUCUAUCUUUUAAGAAAUUUUUAAUUUUCAAACAAAACAAUUAUAAAUUUAUUGAUGAAGAACAAUAUAAAUUUAGAUUACAUUCACAUGUUUUGGCUAAAGAAUCUGAAUUUGCAAUUGGAUCUUUUCUAAAAUUAUUUGUGGUGCACACAAUGUUGUGGCUUAGUGGUGAAUGAAGUAGGUAAAAACUUUAGAAACUAAGGCUUAAGUUUCAGCAGAGACAAAUCGCUAAGAGAUUUCCUUCCCAUCAACAAAAGCCUUGGUGGGUAGAGUUACCCCUUAUUUUUUCCGAUUAGAGCUACCAAAUACCUAGACAAGUAGUCGAGGUGCUCACAAGCUUGCCUAGACAUCACAUUAUUCAAAAAAGUUCUUGUGAGAAACCUAAUAAUAAUUUAAAACACUUAUACAAAAAUAUGUAUUUUAAAAUAUAUGGUACCUCCUCAAUUUCAAUUUCUUUGUCUAUAUGGUACCUCCUCAAUUUCAAUUUCUUUGUCUUACUUUCCUUUUUAGUCCAUUUAAAAAAAGAAUACCGCUUUCCAUUUUUGGCAACUUUUUAAUUAUAACUUCCAUGUGGCAUUUUAAAACCACAAGAUUAAAGAACAUUUUGUACAUUCUACAUAUCUUUAAUUUAAGACCCUAAGUUUCGAAAGUCUUCGUUACUUUCUUAAAUUUCGUGUUAAGUCAUAACCGGACAAACAAAUUGAAACAGAGGGAGUAAAAAAUUAUUUUUAAUUAUGCUUAGAUGCACAUAUAUUAAUAUUAAUGAGAGACUAAAGCUUAUUUACUGCUCAUUUUUAAAUUUAAAAAUAUAUGGCUUUGUAAUUACCACUUGUGAUACACCAACAUGAUGUUGAAUUACUAAGUAAUUACAACAUGACAAACAAACCAAUUAUUAAGCCAUGCAAUUACUAGACUGCUUAAAUACCACCCUUAUGAGUUGCGCAACCUAGCAAUUUUAUAGGCUUUUCAAAUGCAUAUUUGGGGUGAUGUAAUUCUUAAAUCCUAAGACCUCAAUCAAUUGAUCCUAAACAAGCACCAAAUCAAGGAUAGAUAGCUAGAGACUACUAAAGAAAACUGCAAGCAACCAAAGAGUGUUAAACCCUAAGACCUCAAACGGUUAAUUCGAAACAAUCACCUAACUCUUACGAAGAUCAACAAGGGAAAUUGAUUCACCUUGCAACCCCUAUUUCUAAAUAAGUUUCAGAAAAGCUUCACCAAGCUCUCAACUUUCAACGAUGAGAAUAAUUCAACAUUCAUAAAAAUCCUAAUCUAAGUUUAAAGGAGCUAUUCUCCAUUAUCUAUAGCCUAAUAUCAACUAUUACAAAAGUAUCAUUAAUGAAUUAAGGGUCUUUUUGGCCAAGAGGCUUGCAUGUCAAGAAUAACCACUUUUGCAUUCAUCGCCUCUUCCUCCUUAAUUCGAGUGGUCUUUCACAUGGAGCCUUGUACUUCCAUUUUAGUACAUUCCUAAGCUUCAAGACUUCGUUCCAAGCUCCUUUCGAGCCUCCAAAGUAUUGACUUGAUCCAAAACUCUUGAACUCCCUAUCUUGGAUUGGCGUGCAUGCAUCAUGGGGUCUCUAAUUCAAGGAAAUAGGGAGAUCAACGGUGAUGUCACACAUCGUAUAGGUGUGGGAUGGGUGAAAUGGAGGUUCACCUCUGGACUCUUGUGUGCUAAGAAGUUACAACCACAACUUAAAAGAUGGGUUUCUAGAGUGGUGGCUAGGCCAACUAUGUUGUAUGGGGUAGAGUGUUGGUCAGUUAAGAACUCUCAUAUUUGAAAGAUGCAAGUCGCGGAGAUGAGGAUGUUGAAGUGGAUGUGUGGGCAUACUAGGAGAUACAAUAUUAAGAAUGAGGAUAUACAUUAGGAAUGAGGAUAUACAUGAAACGGUAGCGGUGGCCCUCUUGCUGGUCAAGAUGAGAGAAGCGAGGGUGAGAUGGUUUGGGGAGAUGCCCAAGCGAGAAAGUGUGAGCAGUUGGCAGUAGCGGGUGUCGGGAGAUGUAAAGGCGAGGUAGAGGCAACUGAAGAAGUAUUGGGAGAAAUGAUUAGAUAGGAUAUGUCACAUCUUGAUCUUACUGAGGACAUGACAUUAGAUAGGAGAAGUUGGAGGUCACGGAUUAGGGUAGAAGGAUAACGGGUAGUCUCCUGUUUGUUGUGUAAUACUGUUGUUCUACAGAACACAGAGAAGAAGAAAACGUUUGAGGAUAAAAAAAUAUUCUGCUUGUUUAUUCAAUCACGUUUGAGAAUAUAAAUAGACAAAAGAAUCCUAUUCUAUUUCUAACUAGGAAACUAAUAAAAUCCUAUUCUACCUUCAACUAGGAUACUAAUAAAUCCUAUUCUGUAUCAACUUAAAUAAUUGAAUUUUUAAAAAUAAAAUUACUUGACUAAAAAGAAAAAUAACAGCAAAUAACUCAAUACUUCAACACUCCUCCUUGAGAUGUUUGCUGGUAACUCCAAGUUCUCGAAGAGUUUCUUUGGGAAGAGCUUUGGCAAAUAUAUCAGCGAGCUUCAAUCCCUUCCUGUUCUUAGCAAUUUCAUUAAACAUCUCAAAACAUUUUUUCACAAGGUUAUUUCUAAUCACCUUAAGAAUCUUGUUCUGUUGUAGCAUCUCACGAGAGAUGUUGAGAGACAAAUAAUCAGAGUCCACAACACUCUUCACAAAUUCAAGGUACUUGGGCAUAAACUCCUCACAGUUAUCCAUAAUGAACAUCUCCCAAGCUCCUAUUUUCUCUUUGCAGUCUUUGCAUUUGCACCGUUCCCCAACCAUAGGACACAUCCCACAAUGAUCACAACCUACUCCAAUAUUAACUUGCGGUCCUCCACCCGUUAACCAUGCGGAAAGAUCAAAUCUAGGUAGUGAUUUGCAGCCAACAGCUUCGUCCUGAUUUUGAUUUUGUGUUGACGCUGAUGCCUUUUCCCUUGAUGCAUACAACUUGGGAAACUGCUCUUCCAGGUAUUGUGCAAGAAUCAAACAAAUGUUGGGGUAUCCAUUUGGAUUCUCCAGUUUGCCAACUGGACAUCUACAUAGCUUGUUGCUAGGAUUGAACACACAAUUUUCACAAUAAACAUGGCCACAAUUAAGAACUACGGGUCGGCAUAACAACUGCUUGAAGAUACCAUAAAGCAAAUAUCUCAUAAACACCUUCUUUUCACUUACACUGGUAUUUUCAUCUGCGAAGUUAAGAUCUUUUGACGUUGCAUCCUUACUGGUUUCAGAACUCGAUGUUGCAGGAUCUAAAGAAACAUCUCCUGAGGAAGGUUCCUUCCUCUGCUGAACCACAUUUCUGCGAAGGACCAGAAUGAGGUGAAGCAUUGUCUGGAACACUAUCAUUCUUGCAACGGGAUUCUGAUAAAUAGUCAU